rnacentral:rRNA from 1 species
AAUAGAUACCCCGGUAGUCCACGCCGUAAAACGGUGGGUACUAGGUGUGGGUUUCCUUCCUUUAGGGAUCCGUGCCGUAGCUAACGCAUUAAGUACCCCGCCUGGGGAGUACGGCCGCAAGGCUAAAACUCAAAGGAAUUGACGGGGACCCGCACAAGCGGCGGAGCAUGUGGAUUAAUUCGAUGCAACGCGAAGAACCUUACCUGGGUUUGACAUGCACAGGACGCCGGUAGAGAUAUCGGUUCCCUUGUGGCCUGUGUGCAGGUGGUGCAUGGCUGUCGUCAGCUCGUGUCGUGAGAUGUUGGGUUAAGUCCCGCAACGAGCGCAACCCUUGUCUCAUGUUGCCAGCACGUUAUGGUGGGGACUCGUGAGAGACUGCCGGGGUCAACUCGGAGGAAGGUGGGGAUGACGUCAAGUCAUCAUGCCCCUUAUGUCCAGGGCUUCACACAUGCUACAAUGGCCGGUACAAAGGGCUGCGAUCCCGUGAGGGUUAGCGAAUCCUUUAAAGCCGGUCUCAGUUCGGAUUGGGGUCUGCAACUCGA